rnacentral:rRNA from 1 species
UACGGAGGGAGCUAGCGUUGUUCGGAAUUACUGGGCGUAAAGCGCACGUAGGCGGCGACUCAAGUCAGAGGUGAAAGCCCGGGGCUCAACCCCGGAACUGCCUUUGAAACUAGGUCGCUAGAAUCUUGGAGAGGUCAGUGGAAUUCCGAGUGUAGAGGUGAAAUUCGUAGAUAUUCGGAAGAACACCAGUGGCGAAGGCGACUGACUGGACAAGUAUUGACGCUGAGGUGCGAAAGCGUGGGGAGCAAACAGG